rnacentral:SRP_RNA from 1 species
UGCUGGUCCCCUCGCAACGAUACGUCGCGAAUCCCGCCAGGCCCGGAAGGGAGCAACGGUAGUGACUGACUCGUGUGCCGAGGUGUGGCUGGCAGGU